rnacentral:rRNA from 1 species
GGCUACUACAUCCAAGGAAGGCAGCAGGCGCGCAAAUUACCCAAUCCCGACACGGGGAGGUAGUGACAAUAAAUACUGAUACAGGGCUCUUUUGGGUCUUGUAAUUGGAAUGAGUACAAUUUAAUUCCCUUAACGAGGAACAAUUGGAGGGCAAGUCUGGUGCCAGCAGCCGCGGUAAUUCCAGCUCCAAUAGCGUAUAUUAAAGUUGUUGCAGUUAAAAAGCUCGUAGUUGAACCUUGGGCCUGGCUGGCCGGUCCGCCUCACCGCGUGCACUGGUCCGGCCGGGCCUUUCCCUCUGGGGAGCCGCAUGCCCUUCACUGGGCGUGCCGGGGAACCAGGACGUUUACUUUGAAAAAAUUAGAGUGUUCAAAGCAGGCUUAUGCUCGGAUACAUUAGCAUGGAAUAAUAGAAUAGGACGUGUGGUUCUAUUUUGUUGGUUUCUAGGACCGCCGUAAUGAUUAAUAGGGACAGUCGGGGGCAUCAGU